rnacentral:tRNA from 1 species
GCGUCUGUAGCCUAGUUGGUAAAGGCAGCACUCUGGUAUGUGUCUCAGCUAUGAUGAGGUCAUGGGUUUGACUCCCAUCAGACACA